AUAAAAAUAAUAAAAUGACAAGUAGAAGACUUGAGGAGUCCAUGGGGGCUGUUCAGAUGGGAUUAGUCAAAAUGCUCAAAGGAUUUCAAAGCAAGGUUUUGCCACCCCGAAGUCCAAAGGUGGUUACAGAAGAAGAAGUAAAUCAAAUGUUGACACCCUCGGAGUUCCUGAAGGAAAUGUCCCUCACCACAGAGCAGAGACUGGCAAAUACACGGUUGAUAUGCCGACCACAGAUCAUCGAACUCUUAGAUAUGGGGGAAACAACACAUCACAAGUUUUCAGGAAUUGACCUGGAUCAGGCAUUAUUCCAGCCCUUUCCAUCAGAAAUUGUGUUUCAGAACUACACUCCCUGUGAAGUCUAUGAAGUUCCUCUGGUUUUGAGGAACAAUGACAAGAUUCCAAGGAUGGUGAAAGUGGUGGAGGAAAGUUCACCUUACUUUAGAGUCAUCAGCCCCAAAGAUAUUGGCCACAAAGUAGCUCCAGGAGUGCCAUCCAUAUUCCGAAUCCUCUUCACUCCAGAGGAGAACAAGGAUUAUGCCCAUAUGUUGACCUGUGUUACUGAGAGAGAAAAGUUUGUUGUACCCAUCAAAGCUAGAGGGGCACGAGCCAUCAUAGAUUUUCCCGACAAGCUGAAUUUUUCCACUUGCCCUGUCAAAUACAGCACUCAGAAGAUUCUGCUGGUACGGAAUAUUGGCAACAAAGAUGCUGUGUUUCAGAUCAAAACCCGUAGGCCUUUCUCUGUAGAGCCAACUGUUGCAACUCUUAAUGUGGGAGAGUCCAUGCAACUGGAAGUGGCGUUUGAGCCACAGAGUGUGGGCAAUCACAGUGAAAGACUUAUCGUGCAUUAUGACACAGGUGAAAAAGUGUUCAUAUCUCUCUAUGGAGCUGCCGUAGACGUGAAUAUAAGGCUGGACAAGAAUUCCUUGAUCAUUGAGAAAACCUACAUAUCUCUGGCCAAUCAGCGAACUGUAACCAUUCACAACCGCAGUAACAUUAUCGCUCAUUUCCAGUGGAAGAUAUUUGCUACCCAGGAAGAGGAGGACAGAGAAAAGUUUGGGGUCUGUGAUGAUCUGAACAAAGAGGAAAAGAACGAGACUGAUUCGUUCCUUGAAGAGUGCAUUCUUGAUCCUUCACUCCGAGAACGUCUUGCCAUUCUCUCCCGCACAUUUGAGAAUCAGAGGAGGCUGGUUCAGGGAGACAGCAUGCUCUUCUUGAAUAACAUUUUCACCAUUGAGCCCCUGGAAGGUGAUGUCUGGCCCAACUCAUCAGCUGAAAUCACUGUGUACUUUAACCCUCCAGAAGCCAAGCUCUACCAACAGGCUGUUUACUGCGAUAUUUCAGGCCGAGAGAUCCGUCUGCCCCUCCGAAUCAAAGGGGAAGGGAUGGGACCCAAGAUUCAUUUCAACUUCGAAAUGCUGGAUAUUGGGAAAGUUUUUGUUGGAUCUGUACAUUGUUAUGAGGCGAUCCUAUCCAACAAAGGCAGCAUUGAUGCCCUCUUCAACGUGAUCCCUCCAAAUUCUGCUCUGGGAGCCUGUUUUGUGUUCAGUCCCAAGGAAGGCAUCAUUGAACCAAGCGGAGUCCAAGCUGUCCAGAUCUCCUUCAGUUCUGCCAUCCUUGGGCACUUCGAAGAAGAGUUCCUGGUCAGUGUUAAUGGGUCACCUGAGCCUGUGAAAUUGACCAUUAGAGGCUGUAUCAUUGGACCUACCUUCCACUUUAACGUUCCUGCUCUGCACUUUGGUGAUGUUUCCUUUGGGUUUCCUCAAACCUUGAUAUGUUCCCUCAAUAAUACCUCUUUGGUCCCCAUGAUCUUCAAACUGCGUAUCCCCGGGGAUGGCCUUGGCCAUAAAAGCAUUUCAAGUUGUGAGCAGUAUUCAGACAACAAAAGACCAUCUCGGACCAAGGAAGAAAUACCCACAAUGAAACCAAAAGAAUUCACCAUCACUCCCAACUGUGGCACCAUCCGUUCCCAGGGAUUUGCUGCUAUCAGGGUGACAUUAUGUUCCAACACUGUGCAGAAAUAUGAGCUGGCGCUGGUGGUGGAUGUGGACGGCAUCGGAGAAGAAGUGCUGGCGCUCUUAAUUACAGCAAGGUGUGUUGUACCUACCCUCCACUUGGUUAAUACCAAGGUGGACUUUGGACGCUGCUUCCUGAAGUACCCGUAUGAGAAAACGGUCCAGAUUGUCAAUCAUCAUGACCUUCCAGGAUGCUAUGAGGUCCUGCCUCAGGUGAGUGUACAAGGAUGCACCUGCCGUGCUGCUUUCUAGCCCCACUCCCUGCGGAGUCAUCGCCCCCCACAGCACUGUGAACAUAAUGCUGCACCUGGAGACCCAGGUCACUGGAGAACACAGGUCCACAGUUUACAUCUCGACCUUUGGGAGCCAGGACCCCCCUAUGGUAUGUCAUGUAAAGAGCAUUGGAGAAGGCCCAGUUAUCUACGUACAUCCCACUCAAAUUGAUUUUGGCAAUAUCUAUGUCCUAAAGGACUCUUCCAGGACUCUCAACCUAUCUAACCAGUCCUUCAUUCCUGCAUUAUUUCGGGCACGCAUGGCACACAAAAAAUCCCUUUGGACGAUUGAACCCAAUGAAGGCAUGGUUCCCCCAGAAACUGAGGUUCGACUGGCACUGAUUGCCAACCUGAAUGAUGUGCUGACAUUCAACGACACAGUCAUUUUGGACAUAGAAAACAGCAACACCUAUCAGAUCCCUGUCCAGGCUUCAGGAAUUGGUUCCACCAUUGUUACAGAUAAGCCCUUUGCUCCAGAACUCAAUUUGGGGGCACAUUUUAGCCUGGAUACCUAUUAUUACCGCUUCAAGUUGACCAACAAGGGACGUCGGGUCCAACAGCUGUUCUGGAUGAAUGACAGUUUCUGUCCCCAGGGCAAGCUGAACAAGAAGGGACAGGUUAAGAAGGGACAUACUGAUGGCCAGCGCCAGUCCAAAAGUUCCCAGGAGCCCAGGGACCCACAGAGCCCCGUGUUUCAGCUCCACCCCGUCAGGAUGGAGCUGUACCCAGGCCAGACGAUCAAUGUGAUACUCGAAGGCUAUUCUGCUAUUCCAAGA